GAGAGAAGCAACUGGAGCAAAUGAUGAACUACAUAGAGGUGAUUUUGUUACUUGUUUAACAGAUGGAGCCCUGAAUGAUAUGCAGUAUCUCCAUGCAGCUCUUACUGAGGCUCUCAGGCUCUAUCCUGCAGUUCCACUGGAUGCAAAAGUGUGCUUUUCGGAUGACACAUUCCCCGAUGGAUUCGACCUGAAGGGAGGUGAUAUGGUGAACUAUGAGCCAUAUCCCAUGGGUCGAAUGAAGUUCCUAUGGGGCGAGGAC
rnacentral:misc_RNA from 1 species